GGAGAGAUGUCCGAGUGGUUGAAGGAGCACGCCUGGAAAGUGUGUAUACGUUAAUCGCGUAUCGAGGGUUCGAAUCCUCUCUCUCCGCCA
rnacentral:tRNA from 1 species